CCUACGGGCGGCAGCAGUGGGGAAUAUUGGACAAUGGGCGAAAGCCUGACGCAGCAACGCCGCGUGAGUGAUGACGGCUUUCGGGUUGUAAACUUCUUUUCUCAGGGACGAAACAAGUGACGGUACCUGAGGAAUAAACCACGGCUAACUACGUGCCAGCAGCCGCGGUACUACGGUGGUGGCAAGCGUUAUGCGGAUUUACUGGGUGUAAAGGGGGUGUAGGCGGGUUUGUAAGUCAGAUGUGAAAACCACGGGCUCAACCUGUGUGCUGCAUUUGAAACUGGAGUUCUUGAGUACUGGAGAGGCAGACGGAAUUCCUAGUGUAGCGGUGAAAUGCGUAGAGAUUAGGAGGAACACCAGUGGCGAAGGCGGUCUGCUGGACAGCAACUGACGCUGAGGCGCGAAAGCGUGGGGAGCAAACAGGAUUAGAUACCCGAGUAGUC
rnacentral:rRNA from 1 species